rnacentral:tRNA from 1 species
GGGCGUUUAGCUCAGCUGGUUCAGAGCAUCUGCCUUACAAGCAGAGGGUCGGCGGUUCGAAUCCGUCAACG